GCCGACUUACCACCUACAAUCUCCUUAAACAUUACAAAAAUCUUGGCUGGGGUAUAUUAUGUUGGCAAUUUCCAGUUUGCUAGGUGAAUGAAAUGAUGAUAGUCAACUUUAAAGACCACGCAAUAGCACGUAUCUAAUAGGAUAGUGAUUACGGGUAUCGAUCCACAGGGAUUGGGGUAUAGUUGUUUUCUUAAAAAUAAAAAUAUUUAAAAGGAUGAAUUUGUGAAGACUAUUAAACUAAGCAAUUUAAUAAAAGAAAAUGCAAUUAAAGGGAUAUCAGUUUGGAAGAACCUAGGGCACGGAAUUCACCACUAACAUCGGAACAAGGGUUAUUUAUAUUUUAUUUCGUUCUUGGAUUAACAUGCAAAUUGGCUACAAGCCUAAUAAGCAUUUAAAUAAAAAUUUACAAAAGUAAUUUGGGCAUAAUCCAUCUUCAGUAGGCAUGAAAUGUCUAUCCUAAUUGGCAGCACAUCGCAUCUUCCCUAAGCAUGGACUAUCUUAUAUUUACUUAGUGAUCAUGAAGAACAGUUGUAUAAACUUCAUAUUUAAAAUUAAAGAAAUUAAAUAUGAUUCAAAAGAAGAUAUCCAUUAAAAACAAUAAGUUCAUACAACCCCAAGAAUAUAAAAUAAAAUAUAAAACCCGUGUCCCUUUGUUAGGGCUACAUCCGGCCCUGGAGAAGAGAUCAGCCUUUCAUGGAGUUGGAGACGGCAGCAGCAGCACAACAGCAGGCUCCCAUCUCUUCCUUCAUGAUUUCUUUCUUUGAAAUAUUCUCAAAAUAACAAAACUCUUCUCUUUCCUCUUAUUUUUUUAUUCUCUCAUGUUCCCAUGGCUCACUCCCUCCCUUGUUUCCUCUUCUUCUUCCCGUGGGACUUGCCUCCGAGAGAUUCAUGCCAUGGGAUCCGUCUCCUCCUCCUUUUAUAGCCUUCACCAGCUCUCUCUCCUCCCCUGUUUCGUGCGAAGGAUAAGCUUGAAUGUGGGAUAAGGAUGGCUGGCUGGAGUUGAUCCGGUCGUUGGAAAAGUUGAGAUUUGUUGGCCGCGGGAGAUCCGGAUGCGGGAGAAGUUGGAAGGAGUUCACGGACGCUGGGAUGAAUUGGAAGGGAGUGAUCUGUAAGGCUCUGUUCCUUGAUCCUUGGACACACUGCUGGAUGGAGUUGA
rnacentral:lncRNA from 1 species